rnacentral:lncRNA from 1 species
GAUUGAGACCUUUCCUUUCUCUUGCCCUAGUUGCAAUCGAGACCCUGGUUCCCGUAGUUAGCUGAACUACGUUUCACUCUGAUUCUCAUUCCAGAUGAGAUACGUAGGCAUAAGACGCGAUGUCUUAGCGAGCACACUUCUCUUUAACCCAUAGGUAGCCGAGCUAUGAAGACUCUGAUUCUCAUACUCAGAUGAGAUACGUAUGCAGUGGAUGCGACAUCCGUGCGAGUCAUUUU